CUUUAUUAUACAUCAACUUCAAAGAGACUGUACUUGGCCCCUUGGACAGGACUCAGAGCAGAAUUUCCCAAUCAGAAAUCAGGGGCAGAAAAAGGAGACCAGGACCCAUGGGUGAAUUUUCCUGGAUUAGUGGUUUUCCUUUAAUAAUCUAUUUAGUGUCUUGGGGGAAGGAGGUUGCAUGUGCUGUAUGCCAGGUACAGCGCUGGGGCCAGGUGGACACAAAAGUGAAUGAAACACAGUCCCCCUGGCUCUCCCCACCUGACACGGAGGAACUGGGCUUGGACACCCUGCAUCUGGGAGAAGGGGUGCAGUGUGGUGUCUAUGGCACCAGCUCUGCAGUCAGAAGGCCAGGGUUUUUGUGCUCUGGCUCUGCUGCUUGUGGGCUCUGUGGCAUCGGGCAAGCUACUUGUCUUCUCUGUGCCUCACAUUGUGUAUCAGCAGAGUUAAAUACAAAACCUGCCUUAUGGGGUUCCUGUGGUGAUUUGAUGAGUUUAAAAAGUGAAGGUACUUCAGCACAGUGCUUGGCACUUGUGCUUACUGCUCUCAUCCAGGCAUGGAGGAAGCGCACGAGAGGGCAGAGGAGUGCGCAGCUGAGGGCCUGCGGGCAGCCGGGGAGCUUCAAAGAGCCCCGGAUAUUUGAUUUGCACCUGAGAGGCAAGAAUGGACACUUGCCUCCUGUUCCUCCGGGUCCCGAGAAACGGGUGUGUUUCUGCGUUCACCUUCCCAGCACUUCUGAGAUCCCACUGCAAGGAGCAGCUGGGCUUCCUUUGCAUCUCUGCCGCAUCUGUCUUCUCCCCAGUCUGUCUGCAGGUCAGUGCGGUCAAUCCAGGCUGCCACUGUCUCCACGGUUAGCAAGGUAUCCGCUCAGUGGGACGUGUUUCGAAUUCUUGCCUACUGGUUCUCAAAGUGUGCUGGAUGUUGGAAUCCCCAGGAGAGGUUUCAAGAUCAAAUGUCCUGGGUGCAACUCGUACUAAUUCCAUCAGAAUCUCAGGGUGGGCGAUUGGUUCUCAGACAUCGGUGUUUUUAAAGUCUCCAGGUGAUUCUGGGUGCGUCGUGGUGGAGAACUAUCAAUUUACUCCACCCGUGGGAGUAAAGCAUAGCAGAAACCUUCACUGACAAGCCAGCAGAAAAUACUCCUUUUCCUUGUAUCCUGCCCCCAUUAGUGAUUUUAUGAUUACUUUCUGUAUCCACUUGUCUUUCUGCAGUUUACUUUGCUUUUUUUCUUUUUCUUUUCACAGACUUCAAAUAUUACCCUGUGGCAUGCACUUGUGUUUUUAAUGCAUUCAGAACUGGAAAGUUCUUAUGCCCCAGCCAUUCUCCUUCAAGGUCUGACCAGUGGCCACCAGUUACCUGGGAGCUUUUUAAAAAUGGAGGUCCCUGGCCUCUGGCCCAUACGCACUAAAUCAGAACUGUUGGGGGGUGAUUCUAUGAAUCUAGAUCUUUAACAGGUUCCUCAGGGAUUCUUAUGCUCUGAAGUUUGGAUAUUUCUGCCCCGAACUCACCAGUCUAAUUAUGGGUACAGUCAUGUUUAAGGUCCCAGAUAUUGAGGAUGAAGACCUAAGAAAGAUUAAUAGGAAUGUGAUAUAUUUUAACCCCAGAAAGAUGGACGUUCUGAGGACAGGGAUGAACAGAGGGCUGAUUAUGAAGUAGCUAACUAUAUUCACUCUAAAGAUGUAAAUGAAAAUCCUUGUAUUCCUGAGGCCAUACUUAAUAAACAGAGACAGGAGAAAGAAAUUCCCA
ensembl:lncRNA